UACGAAGGGGGCUAGCGUUGCUCGGAAUUACUGGGCGUAAAGCGCACGUAGGCGGCUUCUUAAGUCGGAGGUGAAAUCCUGGAGCUCAACUCCAGAACUGCCUUUAAAACUGCAUCGCUUGAAUCCAGGAGAGGUGAGUGGAAUUCCGAGUGUAGAGGUGAAAUUCGUAGAUAUUCGGAAGAACACCAGUGGCGAAGGCGGCUCACUGGACUGGUAUUGACGCUGAGGUACGAAAGCGUGGGGAGCAAACAGG
rnacentral:rRNA from 1 species